UAUAAUAGGUGACCGACCAAAGCGUGAAUUGGUAUAUAUUCCAAGACACUCAUCAUCCGAAAGGAGGGCUUGGAAAAGCAAAUCGACUUACAGGAUGGACAUUCAACUCCGCAACGGGAAAAUGAAUCUUACUCAGCUGGGGAAAAAACCCAAAGAGUACAUGAAAUAUAAUAUCCAUUACCGUCAGAACGUGGAUAGUAUACUCGCAUGAGGUACAUUAUCUAUUACCGUCAGAACAUAGAUAAUAUACUCGCAAGGAAGGAACACCAGAG
rnacentral:lncRNA from 1 species